AAAUCACAGGAGCUAGUGAAAAUUACCUUUUGCUUGCUUCUUCUUACGUCUGUGUAUAUCGCUCUACCUUUUAAGAGUAUUUGUUUGCAUACAUGGGUAGUAACAGCUCUAAUAGCAGCACUUCUUUCAGGAAAGGCUGGAGGGAGAAAUGCCACACUUGUCAGUGAAUGAUAAAUGUAUUGAAUAAAGGUUAAUUACUCUGCGAUGCACAGAGCAGCCGAAAGCACAGAUGAAUGCACCAUGGAGACAAACCUUAAAGUGGGAUCAGAGCUGGCCUUAAAUGCUGGAAGAAAUGGUGAAAAUGCAGUUUUUGUAGGCUAAGAAUUCAGUUGCAGAUGAUAAAUUUUCCUGUCCAUGUUUGUACAAGAAAUGCCAGACAAAUCGCAGAAAGGAGAGCUGGAAGGGGUGUUCAGAGAACAUCUAGUCUCUACUUGCUGCCUCAAAGGUCAGGUUGCAGAGCAGCGAUGUCUCGGCUAUGCUGGAAGAUGAUCAACUGAUGGAAAUUCCACAAUCUAUAUUUAAUCAUCUCUAGCACUUUGCUGUCGUGGAAAGC